rnacentral:lncRNA from 1 species
AACUCCGCGGGGGACGCGUGGUUCGACGUGUUCGCCUCCUUCCCCGCCGCCGCCCACCUCUCCCCCUUCCUCCCCGGCUCCCUCUUCGACGCCCUCUCCUUCCACCUCGACAAGGCCAUCGCCGAGCGACCGCCCCCGCACCUCUCCGACGCCGUCCUCUACAAGCAGGAGCUCACCAUCCUCGACANGCUCCACCUUCCUCUCCCGCAGCUUCUCCCUCGGCCCCUCCUUCCCACAAGGCCAUCGCCGAGCGACCGCCCCCGCACCUCUCCGACGCCGUCCUCUACAAGCAGGAGCUCACCAUCCUCGACACGCACAUCCACGACGACCGGCUCGUCGCCAUCCGCGAUCUCCUCGGCGAGAUCGGCGCGGCGACGCGGCUCGCCGGCGCCAGGUGCGGCGCGUGCCACACGCUGCACCGCAGGGAGUUGGACUUCCUGAGGUUGCCCUGCUCCCACGCCUUCCACACCCACUGCAUCUUCAAAGAGUUCCGGAGCGACAUCCGAUGCCCCACCUGUCGCUGGAGAUAUCGCUAGAACGAUGCUUGAAUUUCUCUUCUUAUUAGUAAGCAUAAGCCUGCCGCACCCUGGUUCUUCGUUUUAGGGUUUUGGUUGGAGAUGGCCCAAUUUUUCUCGAAUUCUAAAAACAAAGUUAAAGUUUAGAUUAUGCAUAAUCUUAUUAAGAUUAUUUCUGAUUUUAUUAACAUUGCAUUCCUACUUGUAUUAGCAUUUAGUGAUUAUCAUCAUAAAUAUUAUAUGUUUUAUUUCAUUAAUUUGGUGCGACAGAGAAAUAUAUUUUGUAGAGAACUUUGAUUGUACUAGAAAUCUCUGUUCUGUUUUCGUCUGUGGAGGUAGACCAGUGGCCGAUUUUCUUAUAUUUUCGUGUCCGACGAAUUAAAACCGUUUUACUUUUUUCAUAACAAAUUGGUAUGAGAACAAAUCUAGUAUUCAGCGUAAGUCGUGAAUUUCUAACACAUAUAUAUAUAUAUAUAUAUAUAUAUAUAUAUAUAUAUAUAUAUAUAUAUAUAUAUAUAUAUAUUUGCUUGCAUGAGGGAUAUAAGUUUUGGUGUUUGAAUUGAAGGUAAUUAAUGACUUGUUCAUGUUCUUUGAUUCUUUUGUCACUCUCUAUUGUCUCUGCGUUGCUUUCUAUCUGAUGUAAGUUUUUAGUGUGGUGAUGGUUGAUUGUUUAAUUUAAUGUUGAAAUUAUGGGGCUCAGACAAAUUUCUCCGGUGAGUGUUGGACAUGAUUUGCAACGAAUUAAUGUUCGAUGUAUGAAAGUCGGGUUUUACUUUGUUGGUUUUUUGCGGCGUUUGAUGAUGCCCCCCUUGUGUUGCCGUCGUGAUCGUCGCUUAAAAUGUGUUAGCUUUAUACUACAUGUUAUAAUCGUCGUCGACGACGACGAUCUACAUCUACGGGGGCAGGUUUGAGUUGGCAGAGAACUUGGAAACCACUCUAGCUUUACUCACCAUUGUUGAUUGCAAUUGUAUCAUUUGUGCAGACAAAAGAUUACGACGAGUCAAACAAUAAAAAUAAUAGUUUACUGUCGAAAACGACUUCACCUCUUUUCACUUUCACCCAAACAAACAAUGCAUCGACGCCAAUAUCCACAACGGGAAAGAAAAUCGAAGAAAGAGGAUAAGUAUAUACAAGCAAGCAUUAUAAUUGACACGACAAUAUUCACCAAUAAACUCGUAAAAAAAAUUCUCGGAAAAUGAUUUUUCAAGAACUAAUUAAACACCCAAAAGAGAGCUAACGAAAAUCUUUCACAUCAGCCUAAUUAAAUGGUUGCAGAACUCUUUAGGUGAGCAAAGUGUUUUCUACUGUUAAUCAUCAUAGAAAAGUUUGAGAAUAAGCUAAAUAAGCUGUAUUUGAAGGGCGUGCAUAAAAUUCUACAAAGCUCUGUAGAGGAGAAUCUCUAAUAAAGGUGCACGCAAAGUAUGAGACAUUUGCUUUCUCACUUGCUGGGACAAAGAGUAAUGCUAAUUGUGCACAGGAAGAUAAUUAAUUGUUCUUUUAAAUAGUAGAGAGAUAAGAGGACCGUGAGAGAGAGAGAGAGAGAGAGAGAGAGCACCCAAAGAUGAUUGUGUUUUAAGUAAUAGAGAGAGAAAGAGAGGAGCUGCUCUUGUUUUGUUUUAUUUGGGUAGAGUGGUCUUCCAAAGGUAACAUUUUCUUGUGUUUAAGGUGUUAGGCAGUNACGUGUGGAUUUUUUAUUGUUGAGAAUGCGUUAUCACUCCUUAACUUUGUUAUGUUGAAAUUGGCCCGAACAUUAUUUUUUUAAGCUAAAUCUUUGAAAUCAUUCCUAAACCGCUGUCUCAAUUAUCCCUGUAUAAUACUUAUGUUGAUUAUUUAUACACGAAAGAUAUUGAGAAAAAGGCUAAAUUGCUUUUUUUUUUGGCUCAUUAAUAGCAACUUUUAACUUUUAUAUAUCUUGAUUUUAAAUAUUCAUUUUAUAACUUUAAUUACUUGUUAGCUAAAAACCGCAGUUUUCGUUUAAAAUUAAUAACUAGUAGUUAAAAAACUGUUUAUUUUGAUACAAUUUAAUUCAAUUGAUUAAAAUAUUCAGAACAAAAUAUAUGAAAACUCGGAUAUUGCCCAUUAAAAAAAGAAAAAAAGAACCUUUGUAACUCUUUUCUUUUUUUUUUUGAGAAAUAGGUAGCAAGCUACCUGCUUCAUUCAUUAAGUCAAAUGAACUGAGCAUACAGAUUGGAAGCAGCUUAGGCCUCCGAGGAGCCGGCAAAAGGAGAAAAUUAAAAUAAAAGCAAAAAGGAAGAGAAAAGAAGGUCAAAGUCAUGUUCUUAAGUAAAACAAGCUUAAUUAAAAUCUAAAUAUAACUUUGAUUCUUGUAUUAACUUGUUAAUUAAUCUAAUUAAUAUAUUUAAGUCAUUAUUUAUUACUGAAAUGAUUAAGUAAUUAAUUAAUUUAUUAUUUAUAGUUAAUUAGUUUAUAAGAAUUAAUUAUUUAAUGUGUUUAUCUAAUAACUAACGUUUAUAUUGGUCAACUAGUUAAUAUUGUGGCAAUUAUAUUAAUUUCUUAACAAAUCAUCUAAUUAAUUAAAUAAUUUACAAAUUAAUUAAAAAAUUAAGUUAUAUUUUAUAAUUAAUUAAUAUUUUUUAAAUUAUCUUAUACAAUAUUCAUAGAUAAUAAUUUUUUAUUUUAUUAAAUUAAAUAAAAUUAUUUUUAAUUAAUACUUUAAUAUUAAUUAAUUAGAUAAAAUAUUAUAACUUUAAAAUUAUAAUUACUUUUAUUCUUGCUAUUACAAUCUAACUAUCCAAACAUUAUUUACCUUAUUUUCAAAAACAAUCCAAUUUUCAUUCAAACGAAAAAUUAGUCUUGCUACUACUUAUUUUCGAAAUUGUAUCGAUCUCAGGAAUAAGCAAUUUCUGCUUAUUCUUGAUCCAAACGAUUUAGAGAUUCAGUAAUUUUAGUUCUUAUAUUCAAUACUUUUAUUUAUAUUUGAACUCAAAAUAUUUUGAUACGGUCGAGGCGUGAACUUAAUUUAAAGAAGAGGAAACUAAAUAAGACUGCAAGUCUAACGAAACUCUAACUCAGGAUACUAUGCUUCGAUAUUAUAUUAAAUUAUGUAAAACAAUCGAAAAUUUAAAAAGUUUAAGUUAUCAUAUAACAAUGUUUUUAAUAUCAUAUCCAUAUUUAUAUUUAACAUGUUUGUAUGUAUUAUCGAUUGUUCUUAGCAAAAAUGGCAAAGGGCUUAGUGGUUGGUAUCCGAGAUCUCAAGUUCGAAUCCUUAUUUGAAUCCUUGUUGAUUCAAAUUUCCAACUAAGUUUAUUUUUAAAAAAAUAAACGAAGCGGAUAGCAUACUAUCUUUCUCUCUCAAAAAAAUAUAUUUAUGUGUGCGUGUUUUAUUUUUUGAAUAAAAAUUUAAAUACCAGAUGUCCCAAUUUUCAAACAUAAUUACUUUACAUUUCUAGCUAAAUUUAUUUCUGAAAUAAAUAGAAAAUAAAAAAAAAAGGAGAAUACUUAGCUUCUUCUACUUCAAAUUUUCGGAUUGAGGUGUUUGAGUUCUUUUGAAAUCAAGUGCUUUUAGUNGAAGGCUUAGCUGCUAGGUGUGGCAAUUUGCAGUAGAUCUCGUAAACUUUGUAGAUCUUUAAUUUAAAGUAUUAAAAAGCUGUAGUAAAUGGAAUGCUAAUUUUCGAGUGUUUUAACUGUUAAAAAUUGCCGACCAUACCUUAUGAACGAUCAAAUUGCCAUAUUUUCUUAAGCUUAUCCAACUUAAAAACUAUCUUUUAAGAUAAGUGAUAAAUCUAUUUCUAGUUAUUGAAACUAGAAUUUAACUUCCUAGAGUAGUAAGUAAAAAUUCUGUAGUAAGCUAAAACUGGCAAGUAAAAUACGGGCGAACUACCUGAAAUAAUACUAAAGCUUUUUAAUGCUUUAAAUAAAAGAUGUUCAAAGUUUAAGAUAUCUAAUAUAAAUUGCCUCACCUAGCAGUUAAGCCUUCGAGGUAGUAGCUUUUGUUGAAUACUCAUGCUUCCCGGGUUAUGAGUAUUAUCAUAACAUCGGGAUGAUAUAUAUAUAUAUAUAUAUAUAUAUAUAUAUAUACUCAACCUGACCCGAUGAUAAUCAUCGUUUUAGGGUAACAACGAUAGUCAAAAAAUCGGAAACCUAGUUGAGAAAAGUAAUAAAGUUUGGUAACCUAAUUUAUGAUAUUGGGUCACCUCUGGUGAGUUGGGAUCCCCCUGGUGAGUUGAAAUUGACUGAUUAUAAUAGAACUGGAAUGUUAAAAAGUAGGUUCUCAAUUUUUGAACUAUCGUUUUUCUCGCAAAAUGAUAAUUAUCAUAAGGAUUAUCGUGUCAUCGGGACGAUUAUAUAUAUAUAUAUAUAUAUAUAUACAUAUACAUAUAUAUAUAUAUACAUGUAUAUGUAUAUAUAUACAUGUAUAUGUAUAUAUAUAUAUAUAUAUGUAUAUGUAUAUACAUGUCUUUAAUGAAUUUCAUACUUGGUAAAACUUAGCCGAUUCGUUAGAAAAUUUAAAAAAAUAAAAUGACGGGUUGGAAAGUUAAACGGUCUAAACUCAAUCGGUUGCUAUAAAACUGAAAUUUUAAAUUAACGAAGCGAAUAAAAAUAAGAAUGUCUAAAUCUAUCAUAUAAAAUAUGCUAAGGGUGUUGAUGUUUAAGUCAUUUCAUUAACCGUAUUUAAAGUUUCAGUUUAUGAUAACUAACUAAGUCUAGUUUGUUUAACUUUUUAAUUUGUCAUUUUAUUUAUAAAAUUUCUAACCUAUUGACUAAGUUUUUAUCAGGUAUAUAUCAAUUCCGUUUAAGUCAUACAAAGUGGGGUUUUUCUUUAUUUAUUUAUUCUUCUAUUUUCCCUACUCUUGUUUUUAUUUCAUUAAAUAGAUCUGUUUUAAAAUGAAGAGGACGUUUGAUUGAGGGGUUUAUGGGGCACACGACAUUUUAUUACUUUAUUUUUUUUAUUAUCAGGUUGGUUUAUCUUUUUUUAAACCGGUAAGAUUUUAUCUAAGGAAUUGGGAAAACAAAAAAAAAAAAAAGACAAACCCCAAAAAUCUAAAUUUCCCGACAAAUUAAGGAACUCUUUCUCGGUUUAAACAAAAAGUUCUUUUUUAAAGAAAUACCUUUUGAGGAAAAAUUAUAAGGUAAGUAAACUAAGAUUCUUUUUGAUCGAAAAACUUAAAAAAAAAGUUUAAAAUAUUUUUUGAUCACAGAAAGAAAAGGAUUUUUCUAAGUUUUUUGCUUUUUGUGAUCAAAAAACAGUUUAAACCUAAAAAAAAAUUUUUUUCGAUCAAAAAGAAUCUUGGUUUACCUAUUUUUUUUUGAAUUUUGAUCCAAAAGGUAUUUUUUUUUGGAAAAAGUGUUUUUUAAAAUAAGGUAUGAAAAGGGAUCUUGGUUUGUUGAAGAUUAACGUUAUUAUACAAAUAGUUUAAAUAAGUAACAUAAUUAACAAUUAUACAAAUCAAAACAAAAGAUUUUCUAACUAAAUUUAAUAAUUAAAUGAUUUAAGUAGUUAGGAAACUACUCUAUCAUCGAAAACAACUUAUGAGUACGAGGGCGAUCGUACUCAUAAUAGUAUAGUAGCCGAACUCUCUCUCUCUCUCUCUCUCUCUAUAUAUAUAUAUAUAUAUAGAGAGAGAGAGAGAGAGAGAGAGUUUUGCUAUAAUACUAUCGGUAGUAAACGGAGCCGUUUACUACCGAUUUGUUUUCGAUGAUAGAGCUUCCAAAUUGAUGAUCGGCACCGUUAAAUAUGAUCUAAACUAUUUAAACUAUCUAAAAAUCAAACUUUACACAUUUUCAAUAUUAUUCUCUUGUCCAUCAAGUGAACAGAAAAAUGAAUGGCUGAAAAUGAAUAUCCUUCAAAAAGUGAUGAUACAAUUUUUUAUAUUUGAGAUCUAAAGUCUAUAUCUUAUUUUUAAUAGUUUAAAGAAUUUUUUAAUAAAAAUUUAGUUGAUUUGAACUCUUCUAUACCGUUAAACGAGCAAAUGCACCAUAUCGACCAUUAAAAUUAUAUAUUUUGUGACAUUUUGAUCGUUCAGUUAGUGAUGCCAAAAAAUCAUGAAAUUUGAUUUCUAUAUAAUUUAAAUAGUCUAGAUCAUAUUCAACGGUAUCAAUCGUCGAUUUGGAAGCUCUAUCAUCGAAAAUAAAUUGAUAGUAAACCGAGCAGUUUACUACCGAUAGUAUUCUAGCAAAACUCUAUAUAUAUAUAUAUAUAGAACUAGGCUAGAAUACUAUCAAUAGCACCAAGCUAUUAGUGCUAUUGAUUUUUUAGCUCUUGGAUUGAGAAAUGGAUGGUUAGGAUGAUGUGGGCCCCCUAGGGUUGAGUGAGUGGUUAGUUAAAUAGUAUAAUCUAAUAGGUAAAAAUAAUCAAAGGAUUAAAUCUAAUUGUGGAAAACUCGAUAGCAUCAAAUCCUUGAUGCUAUCGAUAGUACCCAGUCGGACUAUAUAUAUAUAUAUAUAUAUAGAGAGAGAGAGAGAGAGAGAGAGAGAGAGAGAGUCCAGCUACUAUGCUAUUAAUAGCACGAAGCACUUGGUGCUACCAAGUUUUCCGCCGUUCGAUAUACCCUUUUGAUCAUUUUCACCCGUUAGAUCAUACUAUUAAACCAACAUCACUCAACCCUAGGGGGCCCACAUCACCUACGCAGAUCUCUUAAUCAAUGGCCAAAAACUUGGUGCCGAUGAUUGGUGCUAUUAAUAGCUAGUGCCUUGUUAUAUAUAGUAUACUAAUUAUAUAUAUAUAAUUAUAUAUAUUAUAUAUUAUAUAUAUAUAUAUAUAUAUAAUAUAGUUGUACUAUUAUAAUCUCAAAGACUACUAUGAAGGUGGUAUACUUAAUUUUAGAGUAUACUUAGUAUGACUUUUAGAAGUUAUUCCCCUAUGGUGCUAAUCUAGGUUUUUAGCCAUUGGAUCUACUCAUGAUGAACUAAUAGUCCUUGGAUCAAACCUAUUCCACCUACACCACUAUCAUCAUCUCAAUCUCACAUCUCUUCAUCCAAUGGCUAAAAACUCAAAUGCACCCCCUCCAUGGUGCUUUUGAGAGAAUUCUAGCUCAACUCUAUAUAUAUAUAUAUUAAAAGGUUAAUAAAUUGCACCAUUAAUUCGUCGCCAAUUUUUACUAGCCAGGUUUUCAAAUUGCAGCAUAUAUAAGAAUGGACGCCGGAGAGGGGGGGAUGGCUAGCCGAGAUCAAGAGCAUCGAAUUUCUAUUCCUGAUCAUAAUAAUAAUGCUGGUGGAUCUGGUGUCAGUGUCGGCCCCGGAUUCAUUAAUGAGGAGUACCUGAGUAGUCUUCCUAGCGAUCCACCGGAUGCGGACGAGGAGUGGAUUAGAGAGAUGGAGGACAAAAUUGAUCGUGCAUUCAAAGAUUCGACAUUACUACCGGCCUGGUAUUUUAAGAAAGAAACAAAACCUAAGAUUUGCAAGCUGCCGCUGCGUGACAGGAUCUCUCAGCCAGGGUCGGAGACAGAAGGGGGGCUUUCUCAGCCAAGCGUGGUGGGAAUAGGGCCAUUUCAUCAUCAGCUCCAUCGGCAGGAUAAGAUAAGUAUUUCCGACAAGGAAAAAUUUUUGAUUGUGGGCCUCAUGAAUUCUUUGUGUGGUCUCGACUUGGCGAGCUGCCUUGUAAAGAUAAAAAAUCAAGUAGCAAAUGCUCGCAACAGCUACAAGUUAGAUGUAUCUGAUCAAAGCUCCAGUUUUAAAGAUGACAAAAGUUUCGCAGAGAUGCUGCUGCUUGAUAGCUACUUCAUCUUGUUUAUGUUGACCAUUAAGUUACGUAAAGGACUGGCACGUUACACAUUGACGCCGCCAACACCUAAUAAGUUUACAGACCCGCUUGCGUUGUCUCAAGACGACCCGUCUAAAUUUCUCGACAUCAUAUUCAACAAAGAUGAGAUCGCACUUGAUCUACUGAUCUUUGAUAACCAAGUCCCUUUCUUUGUGAUCGAGGAGCUAUUUAAGGAGCUCGAGUUGGAGAAGCCCCUCCAUGAGUGCGCCCUCGAGUUCUUCGAGACAAUCCAUCCGAGGUCCGCCCGACAUUGCAUGGACAAGAGUAUUAGUCCUCCCGAAUUCCUACAUCUACUCGAUCUUUUCCACUGGUCUCGGGUCCCACAGAACAAGUACAGCUUGCCUGAUCAACGGCAAGAUUCUAUGUACUGGGGACGCGACACUCCGAAUGCGAGGGAACUUACAGAAUCCGCAACAAUGUUUGAAAAGAAGACGAACGGCAGCUCACUAGAUUUCACAUUUCGGAGACAUUGGUUUAGAUGCAUUAUUGGGGUGUUCGACAUCCCAGAGCUACACAUCUGCAACUAUAGCAGCCUCAUCUUCCAUAACCUCAUCACCUUCGAGAUACAAUCCUCAAGCCGGGGCCGCUGCACCAUGGCCUUUUCUGCACUUAUGCGCAACUUGCUGCAAAGAGAGGAAGAUGUGAAGCUGCUUCGGCAAAGAGGCAUUUUGGCGAGCUCGUCCAUGGCCGACAGACAACUCAUUGAUCUCUUUGCGCGCUUGAGCAGAUUGACUGAAAACCAUCAAAUGCCAAAUGAUCUGUUUAACAUAUGCCAGCAGGUCCGUUCUCACCACGACAACCCAGUGAAUCAGUUCUGCGGCAGCAUCAUUAUCCGAUACUUCCCCAGCCCACUGGUCACUCUUACCGUUUUUGGUGCAAUCUUGCUUUUUAUUCCCACCCUCUUGCAGACCAUAUAUGCUAUGCUAUGAUCAGUUACUACCAUGGUUGAAUGCUCUACAUGUUUUUUUUGAGAAUUAAAAAAAUGCUCUACAUGUUAUUAUCUACAAUGAUAAUAAUUUGCUGAAAUAAAAUAUGUAUUGUACUACCAAAUCGGCUGUUGUUAUAUUAAUUUACAUGUAACAUUCCCUGUACGUUGCUACCUAGUUUGGUGUUCUUGCUUGUUAUUAAUGCAAGGGAGCUUUUUACGUGUGUGUAUAUAUAUAUAUAUGAAUUUUCUUCACACAAGUGAUUCUGGAGUACUCGAAGAGUAUAUUUAAUUUGCAUGCACCAUCAAAUAAUAUAUUUCAAAUUUCUUUAUUCUACGAUGAAAAGAGCAAAAAUAGACAUAAUUUCUUUAUUCGAAGUUAUCUUUAAUGCUAAUGAUCUCUCUUAGCCCAUGACAUCAAGUUUCUCUUAUUAAGCUGCUCCUAAGCUGGAAAACAACAAAAAGCCAAAAAUAAAAACAAAAAUAAGUAAAUAAAAUAAACGCAACUAGCUAGUGACUCAAUAUAAUUAAAAUAUAAUAUAACCAUUUCAUUUUUCUGCACCAUUACCAAACAUCAAAUUUCCCUCUCUCUCUCUCUCUCUCUCUCUCUCUCUCUCUCUCUAAGAAAAAAUGCCUUUUGUGUUCAUCAAGUAAUAAUCGCCUAAAAUUGCGACUUAGUCCCUACAGCAACAACAUAUUGCAAUUCGCUCCAUACAACGAUUCGAACGUCCUAAUCCGAGUCUAAUUCCUCUCUAUAUAUACUCUUUAGGAAUAAUUUCAUAGAUGCCCUUCUAGAAACUAUUAAUUUUAUCAAUACCCUUCUAAAAUUGAUAAUAUCACAAAUACCCUCCAAUAUGUUAAAAAUUAUCAUAAAUACCCUUCAUUAGUUAAAAUCCGUUAAGACAUGAAUGAAACGAAGUUAAAUUUUCAAAAUACCAUUUUUACUCUUUAUCUCUUAUUAAUAGUAGAAAUACUAAGAGGUAUUUCAAGAUAUUUUUUGUAAAUUUAAAUUUAAGUAUUUAAUAUAUAUAUAUAUUAAAUUAAAUUAUUAAUAUAUAUUAAUUAUUAAAAAAAUAUAAAAAUUAUAUUUUAUAUAUAGUAUGUUUUUAUCUGAUUUUGAUUUUGUUUUUUGGUUUCGGAUCUCGGUUCAGCUUCAGUUUAAAUAUAGACCAAACGUAUAAUUGAAUUUAAAUAUGGAUAAUUCUUGAACAUUUUUUUUCAUUUAAAUUUUUAUAUAUAAUUAUUUAUUCGAUAAAAUAUAAAUAGAGCCACUAGAUUUGAUAAAAUUAUCAAAAAAUUAAAAAAUUCUCAUUUUUUUAUACACCGAAAUUAGUUAAUUUUUUAAAAAAUAAAAGUUAAUGGCACAUGACCUAAAAAAAUGAAAAUUGAGGGAGCUGUUUCAAAAUGGCAUAUAGUUGAGGGGGUCUCCAUACAUUUUUAAUUAAGAGAAACUUAAGGAUAAAUAAGUCAUUUUGAAAUUUAACUCAGCUUUAACCAUUUAAUAACUAUGAUAAAGCUAACAUAACUAACAGUAGGGAUAUUGAUGAUAAUUUUCUGUAUUUACAGGAAUAUAGGUGAUAUUUUAAACUUUAUAAGGGUAUCUGUGAUAUUUAAGACUUUGGAAGGGGUAUCCAUGAAAUUGCCCCUACUCUUUAUACCUUCUCUCUUCGUCCUCGCGAGCGCGAUUAUCUCCAACUCUCUCUCUCUCCUCUAGGGAUUCGAUCCACUUCUUCUCUCCUCUAGGGUUUCGACUCCUCUAGAGUUUCGAUCCGAUCCUUCUCCAUGGCCGAAGCCGAAGCGACGGCGGAGGAGUUGAAGGAGAGGGGGCCUCGCCAUUACCAGCAAGACUAGGGUUGGGUACGUCCCCACCCCCACACCCUCCUCCUCCUCCACCGUUGUCAUCGAGAGGGUUCGCCAGUACGUCACGACGAUCAACGGCACUUCCACCCUCGACCGUCGCGGCCCCGUCGAAACCCUAGGCUCCUCCUCCUCCUGCGACGCCGCCGCGCUCCUCGCGGCCUCGCGCGCCUCCGACUAUAUGACGAGCUCCGCGGGGGACGCGUGGUUCGACGUCGUCGCCUCCUUCCCCGCCGCCGCCCACCUCGCCCCCUUCCUCCCCGGCUCCCUCCUCGACGCCCUCUCCUUCGACCUCGACGAGGCCAUCGCCAAGCUACCGCCACCGCACCUCCCCGACACCGUCCUCUACAAGCAGGAGCUCACCAUCCUCGACACGCACAUCCACGACGACCGGCUCCUCGCCAUCCGCGAUCUCCUCGACGAGAUCGGCGCGGCGACGCGGCUCGCCGGCGCCAGGUGCGACGCGUGCCACACGCUGCACCGCAGAGAGUUGGAUUUCCUGAGGCUGCCCUGCUCCCACGCCUUCCACAACCACUGCAUCUUCGAAGCGUUCCGGAGCGACACCCGAUGCCCCACCUGUCGCCGGAGAUUUCGCCGGAACGAUGCUUGAAUUUCUCUUCUUAUUUGUAAGCACAAGUCUCCCCCCUGGUCCUCCUUUUUUUUUUGGGGGGUUUUAAUUGGAGAUGACCCAAUUUUUCUCGAAUUCUGGAACCAAAACAUAAGGUUUUUUUAAUUCUAUAAAGUUAAGUUUUGAUUAUGCAUAAUCUUAUUAAGAUUAUUUUUAAUUUUUUUUUUUUUUUUUAAGAGAAGAUAAUACGCUAUCUGCUUCAUUCAUUGAAUGUAUGGACUAGGCUACAAGGGUAAGGCAACCAAGGCCCCGAGAAAGAAACAGAAAAGACACGAAAGCAAAGCGCAUUCAAAAAAAAAAAAAAAAAAAAAAAAAAAAAAAAAAAAAAAAAACAGUUUCACCUAAGUACGGAUGUGAGUAUCCCAGGAUUUCUAGUUUUAUUAACAUUGCAUUUCUACUUGUAUUAGCAUGUAUUGACUAUCAUAAAUAUUAUAUUUUAUUUUAUUAAUUUGGUGGGGUAGGAAUUUAUAGGAGAAAUAAAUUUUGCACAGCACUUUGAUUGUACUAGAAAUCUCUAUUCUGUUUUCCUGCAUGGAUGUAGAUUUUUUUAUAUUUUUGUGCCCGACGAAUUAAAACUUUUUUACUUUUUUCAUAACAAAUUGGUAUGAUAACAAAUCUGGUAUUUAGUGUAAAUCGCGAAUUUCUAACGCAUAGAUAUUUGCUUGCAUGAGGGAUGUAAGUUUCGGUGUUUGAAUUGAAGGUAAGUAAUGACUUCUUCUUGUUCUUUGAAUCUUUAUCACUCACUACUGUUUCUGCAUUGCUUUUUAUCUAGUAAAGUUGUUAGUGUGGUGAUGGUUGAUUGUUUAAUUCAAUGUUGAAAUUAUGGAACUCGACGAAUUUCUCCGGUGAGUGUUGGAUAUAAUUUGCAACAAAUUAAUGUUCGAUGUAUGAAUGUCGGGUUUUGCUUUGUUGGUUUUUGCGGAGCUUGACGAUGCCCCCUGUGUUGCCGUCGUGAUCGUCGCUUUAAAUGUGUUAGCUUUGUACAUGUUAUAAGUGAUCAGGACGACGGCGACGACGACGAUCUACAUGGGCAGGUUUGGGUUGGCAGAGAACCUGGAAACCACUCUAGCUUUACUCGCCAUUGUUGAUUGCAAUUAGCACGCUACCCGCUUCGUUUAUUUUAUUUAGAAAUAAACUUAGCUGAAAAUGUGAAUCAAUUAGGAUUCGAACUUGGGUCUCGGGUACCAACCAUCAAGCCCUUUGCCACUUGCUCUAGGGACGGUAGGUUUUACUCGCCAUUGUUGAUCGCCAUUGUUGAUUGCAAUUGUAUCAUUUGUACAGACAAAAGAUUACAUAUUUGGACUAGAAUUUACCCGUUCAAAGAGAUUUGGACAAGAAUAUUUUAAUUUCACUUUCAGUUUGGAUGAAAUUUGCUUACAAUUUUGCAGAUCUUGGUCUCAAAGAGAGCACUGAAAACAACAAACAAGGGUUACAAAGCCCCAUGCCCUCUUUCUUUGUCCCUUCAACACAUUUUAUGUUAGGGCUGUAGUGUGGAAAAUGAUUGAUUAGGGGUUUCAAAUUUGUGAUUUUGGGUCAUUUACUAAGUGAGUUGGUAUUUGUUGUCUAACAUCUUGAGUAUUAUUACACAUUGUAUUAUUCUUUUUCUCAUCUUUUUUCCAUCAUAAUUGACUUCGGCCAAAGGCAAGUCCAGAGUUGUUAUUACUAUUUUGAAUAACUUGAGAUUCAACUAUAUCUUUAUUAUGACGAAUUAAACAACAAAAAUAAUAGUUUACUGUCGAAAAUGAUUUCACCUCUUUUCACUUUCACCUAAACAAACAGUACAUCGACGCCAAUAUCGACAACAAAAAAAAAAUCAAAGAAAAAGGACAAGUAUAUAUACAAGCAAGCAUUAUAAUUGACAUGACAAUAUUCACUAAUAGAAAUAAAACGAAGCAGGUAGCGUGCUAUCUAUUUCUCAAAAAAAAAAAAAAAAUCACCAAUAAACUCAUAAAAAAAAAUUCUUGAAAAAUGAUUUUUCAAGAACUAAUCAAACACCCAAAAGAGAACUAACAAAAAACCUUUCACAUCAGCCUAGUUAAAUUAAUUGUUGCAAAACUCCUUAGGUGAGCAAAGUGUUUUCUACUGUUAACCAUCAUAGAAAAAUUUGAGAAUAAGCUAAAUGAGCUGUAUUUGAAGGGCAUGCAUAAAAUUCUACCAAGCUCUGUAGAGGAGAAUCUCUAUGGUGCACGCAAAGUAUGAGACAUUUGCUUUCUCACUUGCUGGGACAAAGAGCAAUGCCAAUUGUGCGCAGGAAGAUAAUUUUUCUUUUAUUAAAUAGUAGAGAGAUAGAGCAUGCACCCAAAGGCCAAAGAAAAUUGUUUUUUUUAAUAUGAGUGAGAUAGAGAGAGAGAGAGAGAGAGAGAGGAGCUGCUCUUAUUUUAUUUGGGUGGAGUGGUCUUUCAGGAGUACAAUCGUCGUUACGGUGGCUCGAGAUGGAAAUGUAUUCUUAGGAACAAGUUAUCGGUAAAUUAUGUUUGUUGUUGUUGAUGCUAAUACUAAUUGGUCAUUGUGUAUAGGCCACAACAUAUAUUUUGAGUUCAUAGAAAUUUUGUCAUUGAAAGUUUUACUUUGAUUUCAAUUUCGUCUGUGGACGUAGACAGGUGCCCGUUUUGGUUUUUUAUAUUUUUGCGCCCGAUAAAUUAAAUCUUUUCUACUUUUGUUAUAAUAAAUUGGUAUGAGAACAAAUUUGAUAUUCAGUGUGAGUCACGAAUUUCUAACACGUACACACAUAUAUAUAAAUUAUGCUUUAUACUAUUAAUAGCAGCAAGCGCAUGCUGCUAUUCAGUUUGGUGCUAUCGAGUUUUCGACUGUUGGAUGAAAGGAUGUGCAAUUAGGAUGAUAGUGGUAUUCUAAGGUUGAGUAGAUGGUUGAUUAAAUAGUAUAAUCUCAAGGAUAAAAAUAAUCAAAUAGUAGAGCUAACGAUAGAAAACUCAAUAGUACCAAGAGUUUGGUACUAUCGAUAAUAUGAUAGUCAAACUCUCUCUCUCUCUCUCUCUCUCUCUAUAUAUAUAUAUAUAUAUAUGGGGGAUAUAAGUUUUGGUGUUCGAAUUGAAGCUAAUUUAUGACUUGUUCUUGUUUUUUGAUUCUUUGUCACUCUCAAUUGUUUCUGCAUUGCUUUUUAUCUACUAAAGUUGUUAGUGUGGUGAUGGUUGAUUGCUUAGUUUAACGUAUGCGAUUUCAUUGAGUAAUGUGGAAAUUAUGGGCCUGGACAAAAUUCUCUGCUAAAAAUUUAUUAGUGUUGGAUAUGAUUUGCAACGAAUUAAUGUUCGAUGUAUGAACAUCGGGUACGUCGGUUUUACUUUGUUGGUUUUUGUGGAGCUUGAUGAUGCCCCCUGUGUUACUGUCGUGAUCGUCCCUUGAAAUGUGAUAGCUUUGUACAUGUUAUAACUUCAAAGAGAUUUGGAUAAGAAUUGUAAUUUCACUUUCAGUUUGGAUGAGAUUUGCUUAGAAUUUUGCAGAUCUUGGUCUCAAAAAGAGCACUGAAAACAACAAACAAGGGUUAUAAAGCCCCAUGCCCUCUUUCUUUGUCCCUUCAACACAUUUUCUCUAAGGGCUGUACUGUGGAAGAUGAUUGAUUAGGGGUUUUAAAUUUGUGAUUUUUGGUCACUUACUAAGUGAGGUGGUAUUUGUUGUCUAACAUUUGAGUACUAUUACCCAUUGUACUAUUCUAUUAUUCUUUUCUUCAUCUUUUUUCAUCAUAAUUAAUUCGGCCAAAGGCGAGCUGAGAGUUGUUACACUAUUUUGGAUAACUCGAGAUUCAGUUACAUCUUUAUUACGACGAGUCAAACAAUAAAAAUAAUAGCUUACUGUCAAAAGCGACUUCACCUCUUUUCACUCUCACCCAAACAAACAGUGCAUCGACGUCAAUAUCAACAACAGAAAGAAAAUCAAAGAAAGAGGAUAAGUAUAUACAAGCAAGCAUUAUACUUGACAUGACAAUAUUCACCAAUAAACUCAGAAAAAAAAAUAUUCUUGGAAAAUGAUUUUUCAAGAACUAAUUAAACACCCAAAAGAGAACUAACAAAAAAACCUUUCACAUCAGCCUAAUUAAAUUAAUUGUUGCAAAACUCGUUAGGUGAGCAAAGUGUUUUCUACUGUAAAUCAUCAUAGAAAAGUUUGAGAACAAGCCAAAUUAGCUGUAUUCGAAGGGUAAGCAUAAAAUUCUACCAAGCUCUGUAGAGGAGAAUCUCUACGGUGCACGCAAAGUAUGAGACAUUUGCUUUCUCACUUGCUGGGACAAAGAGCAAUGCUAAUUGUGCACAGGAAGAUAGUUUUUCUUUUAAAUAGUAGAGAGAUAGAGGACAGAGAGAGAGAGCACCCAAAGAUGAUUGUGUUUUAAGUAAUAGAGAGAGAAAGAGAGGAGCUGCUCUUGUUUUGUUUUAUUUGGGUAGAGUGGUCUUCCAAAGGUAACAUUUUCUUGUGUUUAAGGUGUUAGGCAGUGUUUGAUUCGCGUACAAAAAAAAAUAUAUAUGUUUUUCUAAAAAAAAAUUUAAAAAAUGUAAAAAAAAAAAAAAAAAAAAAAGGGGAAACUUUAAAUACACCUGUGGUUUCGUACUUUCUUACUAUAGUACCUGUGGUUUAACGUAUAUCAAGUUAGUACCUUCUGGUUUCGCACUUUCUCACUUUACUAUCCUGUGGUUUCAAGUGUAUCAUGUUAGUAUCAUGUGGUUUCGCAAUUUCUCACUUUAGUACUCUGUUGUUUAAUAUUCUAGCUCAACUCUCUCUCUCUCUCUAUAUAUAUAUAUAAAGUCUGGCUACUAUACUCUUAUGAGUAUGAUCUCCUUUGUACUCAUAAAUUGAUUUUCGAUGAUAGAGCUUUCGAAUAUAUAGAACUAGACUGAAAUGCUAUCAAUAGCACCAAAUUGUUGGUGCUAUUAGUUUUCGGCUCUUGGACGAAGAAAUGUACCGUUAUAAUGAUAUAAACCUGCUAGGGUUGAGUGAGUUGUUGGUUGAAUAGUAUAAUCUAAUGGGUGAAAAUAGUCAAAGAAUUAAAUCUAAUAGCGGAAAACUAGAUAGCAUCAAGUGCUUAGUGUUAUCGAUAGUAUUCCAGCCGGAAUAUAUAUAUAUAUAUAUAUAUAUAUAUAUAUAUAUAUAUAUUAAAAGGUUAAUUGCACCAUUAAUUCAUCACCAAUUUUUAGUUGGUUUUCAAAUUGCAGCAUGCACAUAUAAGAAUGGAUGGAUGCCGGAGAAGGUGGGGAUGCAUGGCUAGCCCAGAAGAGCAUCUAAUUUAUAUUGCCGAUGCUGCUGCCAGCAGAUCUGGAUCUGGUGAAAGCGUCGGCACCAGAUCCGAUGAGGAGGAGGAUGGUAGUCUUCCUAGCAAACCUCAUGGGGAUGAGGAGUGGAUCAGAGAGGUGGAGAACAAAAUGUGCCGCGCACUCUUGGAUUCGAUGUUGUGGCCCUUCCAGUCCCCAGAUGAAAGAGAAACCACGAUUUGCAAGUUUACGCUGGGUAAGGAGAUCUCUCGGCCAAGGUUCGCGACGAUCGGGGAGUUCUCUCAGCCCAGAGUGGUGACAAUAGGGCCAUUUCAUCGGCAGGAGAGCACGAGUAUUUCCGACGACCAGAAAUGGGUGAUUGUGUGCUUCAUGAAUUUAUUGUGCGGUCUCGACUUGGCGCGCUGCCUCGUAAAGAUGAAAGAGGAAGCAAAAAAAGCUCGCAACAGCUACUCCGAUUUAGAUAUAUCGCAAAGCUCCGGCCCUAAAGACUACACAAGUUUCACAGAGAUGCUGCUCCUCGAUAGCUACUUCAUCUUGUUUAUCCUGACCGUUAAGAUACGCAAAAGACCGGCAGGUUAUACACUGAUGCCGCCAACACCUGAUUCUGCAAACCCACUCAAGUUGUUUCGCGACGACGCGACUAAAUUUCUCGACAUCAUAUUCAACAAAGACGAGAUCGCGCUCGAUCUACUGAUCCUUGAUAACCAAAUCCCCUUCUUCGUGAUCGAGGAGCUAUUUAAGGAGCUCAAGUUGGAUAAGCCCCUCCUCGAGUACGCCCUCGAGUUCUUCGAGAUGAUCCAUCCGAGGUCUGCCCGACAUUUCAUAGACGAGAAUAUUAGUCCUCCCAAAUUCCUACAUCUGCUCGAUCUUUUCCACUGGUCUCGGGUCCCGCAGAACAAGUACAUCGAACCAAUUAUUAGUUCGUCUUCUAAACAGCUAGAUUCUAUAUACUGGGCACCCUAUACUCCGAAUGCGAUGGAACUCAGAGAAUCCGCAACAAUGUUCGAAAAGAAGACGUCCGGCAGCAGCUCGCUAGAUAUCACAUUUCGGAGGCGUUGGUUUAAACACAUUAUUGGGGUGCUCGACAUCCCGGAGCUACACAUCCGCGACUAUAGCAGCUUCAUCUUCCAUAACCUCAUCGCCUUCGAGAUGCAAUCUUCAAGCCGGGGCCGCUGCACCGUGGCCUUUUCUGCACUUAUGCGCAACUUUCUGCAAAGAGAGGAAGAUGUGAAGCUGCUUCGGCAGAGAGGCAUCUUGGUGAGCUCGUCCAUGACCGACAGACAACUCAUCGAUCUCUUCGCGCGCUUGAGCAGAUUGACUGAAAACCAUCAAAUGCCGAGCGAUCUGUUUAACAUAUGCCAUCAGGUCCUAUCUCACCACAACCACCCAGUGAAUCAGUUCUGCGGCAGCGUCAUUAUCCGGUACUUCCCCAGCCCACUGGUGACUCUUUCUGUAUCUGCCGCCGCCGUGCUUUUUGUUCUCAGCCUCUUGCAAACCAUAUAUGCUAUGAUCAGUUACCACCACCUUGGGUGAAUGCUCUACCUACACGUUGUAUUACCUAGUAUGAUAGUACUGCAUGCAUAUGUUACUGAAGUAAAACACGGAUUGUAUUUCCAAAUUCCAAUUGGGUUUGGGUGGGUAUGUAUUUACAUCUAACUUCCUCUCCUCUGUAAGUUGCUGCCUAGUUUAAUUGGUGUUCUUACUCGUUAUUAAUGCAAUGAUUUUUUAUUUAUAUGAAUUUUCUCACAAUCUCUUAUUCAAUCUCCUAAUUAAGCAAAUGUCAAGAAAAUGACGAUGGAACAUGUAAUUAAAUAGAUUAAUUGCAAUCCCAAGUAAAACCCGUAAAACCCGUUGUUAAGAAUAGUAUUUCAGGGACGAAGCGAGAAAUUAAGAUUCGGAGGGGCCAAGAUUUUAAAUUUGAUAGGAAAAAAAAUUGGACCUUAGAUAAUAAGAAAACAAAUUUGUGAGAUUCACUAAUCAGUUAUUACUAGAAAUAAUAAUGACAAUAUGUUCAAAGAGGAACAAGACUAAGAGUUGGAAAAAAAAAAAAAACCAAGAAAUUUGAAAAAAAAAAAACACAAAUUUAUUAAAAAAAUUAAUUUGGCCCCGUAAAAUUAAAUUUUAUAAUAUUUUAAUUUUUAUUACAAAGGACUUUUAUAUAAUUUUAAAAAAGUUUGAGGGGUCAUGACUACUGUGACCUCAAUCGGCCCGCCCCUGGUAUUUGAAGCACUUUUUUUUUUUUAAGAGAGAUAGAUAACAUGAUAUUCGUUUUGUUUAUUUUAUUUAGAAAUAAAUUUAGCUAAAAAUAUGAAUCAACUAGGAUUCAAAUUCGGGAUCUCGAAUACUAACCAUCAAAUCCUUGACCACUUACACUAGAAACGGUCGGUGUAUUUGAAGCACUUAACAAUACCAAAUAUAACCUAUUAGAUAUCAAGCUGGUCAACAGAUCAAUGCAACUAGUGACUCAACAUAAUUAAAAUCUAAUAUAACCAUUUCAUUUUCCGCAACAUUAAGAAACAUCAAAUUUCUCUCUCUCAAAAAAAAAAAAAAAAUCAAAUGAAGAAAAAGAUAAACUUUAGCCUACCUCCAGUUAGGGAUGUCAAUGGGUAUGCAUAUCCAAAAUAUUAUUCGAACCCGAAUUCGAACGGGACGGGUUUGCCCGAGCUAAACGGGUAUGAAUUCAGUUAUGAAUAUAGAAAGUAAAACCCGACGGAUAUGAAUACGGAUAUGGAUUUUGUAUUUACCCGACCUGAACCCGAAUAAAUUAUAUAUAUACAUACUUUAUUUUUAUUUAUUUAUAUAAAAUAUAAAAUAUUUAAUAAUUUUUAUCUCUUAGAUCUUCAUUCAACGGUAUGGAUAUUUAAAACCCGCCGGGUCCGGAUCCGGGAUUGAAUUUCGGAUUUUUUGUCGGGUACGGAUAUAGCUAUGGAUUUUUAAAAUCCGCCCGCUUCGAAUUCGGAAACGAGUUUUAAUUUGGUUUUCGGGUUCGGAUUCGAAUUUUUAAAAAUCCAAUCCAAACCCGACCCUGUUGACAUCCCUACUUCCAGUUAAACUUUACUAUUCGAUAAUUUUAUUUUUAUAAAUAGCAAAGUGCAAACUUUUACAUUACAUAUCAUAAACUAAUAAACAUGUGAUACUAUUAACUAAUUUACGUUUAGAUACAUCACCCAUUUAAAAUUUUCUAAACCGUUGAAGAUGGCACCAAAAUAAAGGAAAACUAUUUUUUUUAAAAAAAAAAACUAAAUAUGAAGUUAAUUAAUAAUAAAAUAAAAUGCUUUUUGUGUUCAUCAAGUAAUACUCGUCUAAAAUUGCUACUUAGUCCCUACAGCAACAACAUAUUGCAAUUCGCUCCCCACAACGAUUCGAACGUUCUAAUCCGAGUCUAAUUCCUCUUUACUCUUUCCUAUAUAUAUAUACUCUUUAUUAUUACCUCCUCUCUUCGUCCUCGCGAGCGCGAUCAUCUCCAACGCUCUCUCUCUCCUCUAGGGUUUCGCUUCUCUAGAAUUUCGUUUCGAUCCGCUUCUUCGCUCUUCUAGAAUUUCGAUUCGAUUCUCCAUGGCGGAAGCCGAAGCUCCCAUGGUGGCGACCGAAGCGAAGGCGAAGGUGGAGGUGGAGGCGAAGGCGAAGGUGGAGGAGGUGGCGGAGGUGAAGGAGAAGGGGCCUGGCCAUUACCAGAUCGAGCACCCCUACCUGUGCAUCGGCGAGCCUAGGGUUGAGUACGUCCCCUCCUCUCCCACACCCUCCUCCACCGUCGUAGUCGAGAUCACGUGGAGGAGGGCGACGCAGUGCGUCACCACCAUCAACGGCACCUCCACCCUCGACCGCCGCGGCCCCGUCGAAACCCUAGGCUCGUCCUCCUCCUCCUUCGACGUCCCCGCGCUCCUCGCGGCCUCGCCCGACUGCCACGGGGUGACGAACUCCGCGGGGGACGCGUGGUUCGACGUGUUCGCCUCCUUCCCCGCCGCCGCCCACCUCGCCCCCUUCCUCCCCGGCUCCCUCUUCGACGCCCUCUCCUUCCACCUCAACAAGGCCAUCGCCGAGCGACCGCCCCCGCACCUCUCCGACGCCGUCCUCUACAAGCAGGAGCUCACCAUCCUCGACACGCACAUCCACGACGACCGGCUCGUCGCCAUCCGCGAUUUCCUCGGCGAGAUCGGCGCGGCGACGCGGCUCGCCGGCGCCAGGUGCGGCGCGUGCCACACGCUGCACCGCAGGGAGUUGGACUUCCUGAGGUUGCCCUGCUCCCACGCCUUCCACACCCACUGCAUCUUCAAAGAGUUCCGGAGCGACAUCCGAUGCCCCACCUGUCGCUGGAGAUAUCGCUAGAACGAUGCUUGAAUUUCUCNUGAUUAUUCUUCUCUUUAAGUUCGUAGCAAGAUCGCUAUAGAGGUCGCUGUCCACCCCGUAGCCUACAGCGAAAGUUUAGAUUAUGCAUAAUCUUAUUAAGAUUAUUUCUGAUUUUAUUAACAUUGCAUUCCUACUUGUAUUAGCAUUUAGUGAUUAUCAUCAUAAAUAUUAUAUGUUUUAUUUCAUUAAUUUGGUGCGAGUCGUGCAACAGAGAAAUAUAUUUUGUAGAGAACUUUGAUUGUACUAGAAAUCUCUGUUCUGUUUUCGUCUGUGGAGGUAGACCAGUGGCCUAUUUUCUUAUAUUUUUGCGUCCGACGGAUUAAAAUUUUUUUACUUUUUUUAUAAUAAAUUGGCAUGAGACCAAAUCUGGUAUUCGGUGUAAAUCGCGAAUUUCUAACACAUAUCGAUAUUUGGUUGCACGAGGGACAUAAGUUUUGGUGUUUGAAUUGAAGGUAAUUAAUGACUUGUUCUUGUGCUUUGAUUCUUUUGUCACUCUCUAUUGUUUCUGCGUUGCUUUUUACCUGGUGAAGUUGUUAGUGUGGUGAUGGGUUGAUUGUUUAGUUUACCAUUGAAAAUGAAUUAUUAGCAUGGAGGGCUCUGUGCUAACCAAAGCAUUCUAAUCGCACUUGUUACAACGAGUGCACAAAUAAAAACAAAAAAUAAGCAAUUGCAAAAUAGACAAAUCACAAGACAGUAAAAAAAAUUGAACACAAGGAUUUAUAUAGAAAAUUUUUUUCAUGAAAAAAAUCAUGAGCGAAGGAAGAGAGAACUUUACUGUGUAAAAAAGAGUAUAAUUUUUUUUGUAGAAAUACAAUAUGCAGUAUCGUCUCUAAAACAAAAAAAAAAAAAAGAGAAGGGAGUUUAUUAACGGGUUUCUUCGUUAUCAGAUCUGAUUUGUAUCAGACUAUGUCAUUAGGCACAGCAAUUCCUGUCAAUGUGAUAAAAUUACUGUGAAACAACCGUUGUACUCUAAAAGCUUAAACUGUUAAAGAACGAUGUUUAAAUAUCUUUAUAUUUAACACUCCCCCCCUCAUGUCUAGACUCAAAACUUUUUAGUCGGCCCAUGACGUGGGUUUGAAUUCGAACUCAGAACCUCUUGCUCUGAUACCAUGUGAAACAACCGUUGUACUAUAAAAGUUUAAGCUGUUAAAGAACGGUGUUUAAACAUUUUUAUAUUUAAUAAUUACAGCUACAAUUGCCAUUGAGAAGCAUAUAACAACUGUUUUAUAAUAUUUUACUUCAACAGUAUUAAUUAUCAGUUCAAAUAUUUUUUUAUUUUGAAAAAAAGAAAGAAAGAUGCUCUCUCUCUUUGUAGAGGAGAAUCUCUAUGGUGCACGCAAAGUAUGAAACAUUUGCUCUCUCACUUGCUGGGACAAAGAGCAAUGCUAAUUGUGCACAGGAAGAUAAUUGUUCUUUUAAUUUAAAUAGUAGAGAGAUAGAGGACCCAAAGGCCAAAGAAAAUUGUUUUUUAUGUGUGUGUGUGUGUGUGAGAGAGAGAGAGAGAGAGAGAGAGAGAGAGAGCACCCAAAGAUGAUUGUGUUUUAAGUAAUAGAGAGAGAAAGAGAGGAGCUGCUCUUGUUUUGUUUUAUUUGGUUGGAGUGGUCUUUCAGAGGUAAUGUUUUCUCCUAUUUAAGCUGUUAGGCAGUGUUUGGUUUGGAUAUAAAAAGAGGAAUAAAUUUUUAUUCUUCUUCUUAUAUCCAAACGUUAUUAUUGGAGUUGAAAAAUUAUAGUUUUUCUUUAUUAGGAAUAAAGGUGGAACGGUUGUUUCGUCCUCCCAUGGAAACAAGAUUGUUCUCAAGUAGAACAAGCUUAAUUAAAAAUUAAAUAUAAUUUUGAUUCUUGUAUUAACUUGUUAAUUAAUCUAAUUAAUAUGUUUAAGUAAUUAUCUAUCUAUUACUUCAAUAAUUAAGUAAUUAAUUAAUCUAUUAUUUGUGGUUAAUUAGUUUGUAAGAACUAAUUAUUUAACGUGUUUAUCUAAUAACUAAUGUUUACAUUGGCCAACUAGUUAAUAUUGUGGCAAUUAUAUUAAUUUCUUAACAAAUCAUCUAAUUAGUUAAAUAAUUUACUAAUUAAUUAGAAAAAUUAAGUUAUAUUUUAUAAUUAAUUAAUUAAUUAAUAUAUUUUUUAUUAUCUUAUACAAUAUUCAUAGCUAAUAAAUUUUUUUAUUUUAUUAAAUUAUUUUUAAUUAAUAUUAUGAUGUUAAUUAAUUAGAUAAAAUACUAUUAAAUUAUAAUUAUAAUUAUUUUUGUUCUCGAUAUUCUAAUCUAACCAUUCAAUUAUUAUUUAUCUUAUUUUCAGAAACAACCCAAUUUUCAUCCAAAUGAAAAACUAAUGUUGUUUCUACUUAUUCCUGAAAUUGUAUCUAUCAUAGGAAUAACAAUUUCUAUUUAUUCUUGAUCUAAAUGAUUUAGCGAUUCAAUAAUUUUAGGUAUUCAAUACUUUUAUUUAUAAUUGGACUCAAAAUAUUCUAAUACGGUUAAGCCAUGAACUUAGGGUACUGUAUUUGGUUCGAAGUUGGAAUCAGGAUCGGAAUCGGAAUGAGAAUAUGUUGAAACGGAAUCAGAAUGAUUUAUUAUUUCAUUUUGUUUGGUUCGUUACCUGAAUUGAAAUUGGAAUGAAUUAUUUUUAUUGUCGAUGUUUGAUAUAAGUAGAUAUCAGAAACGUAAUUAAAUUAAUAUGCCAAUUUUAUCUUUAUAAUAUAUUAGUUUAAAUUCAAACUAAAAAUUAAAUACUAAAAAUUUACGUCAAAAUUUACAAUGAUGUCACAAUUUUAAAUAUAUAUUUUUUAAACAAAUUAAAAUUUGAAAUUGAACGGAUAAUUCAAAAUAUAAAACUAAAAUUAGAUUUAUUUAAAUUCAAACUUAAAAUUAUAAUUUCAAUUUCAAUUUGAAUCCAUAAAUUUAAUUUAAAUUUUAAAUAAAAUUUGAAUAAAACUUUAGAUUUUGAAUUAAAUUUAAAUUUAAAUUCAAAUUUAUAAAUUAGAUUCGAAAUGCUUGAUUAAAUUUUAAUUUAAAUUUAAGUUCAAAUUUAAAUUUAAAUUUAUAAAUAUAAUUUUUAAACUUAAACUUAUGUUUUAAUUAGAAAAUAAGUUUAAAAAAAUUAAAUUUAAUCCGAACAAAUCCAUACCGCCCUGAUUCAAUUUCCAAUCCGGCCUCCUAGGCCGGAUUGGAAAAAAGGAUAAUUAGGAGAUUUCCAUUUAUCCGGAAAUCGGAAUCGGAAUAAAAAUUCUGCAUACCAAAUCCGGACAAAUGGAUUUGUCUAUUCCGAUUCUAAUUUCACGGUAAAAAUGGGCCGUACCAAACGUGCCCUUAAUUUAAAUAAGAGAAAACUAAAUAAGGUUGCAAGUUUGACUCAAACUUAGAAUAUUCUGCUUCGAUAUUAUAUAAAAUUAUGUGAAACAAGCGUAAAUUUUAAAAGUUUAAAUUUUUAUAUAACAAUAUUUUUAAUAUCAUAUCCAUAUUUAUAUUUAACAAGUUUGCGUGUGCGUGUGUGCGCGUUUCUUUUUUGAAUAAAAAUAUAUGGUUUCUACCGUACCCAUUGCAGCUCGCUAAAACGUUGAUAGUUGGUACCAGAGUACCAGACGUCCCAAGUUUCAAAUUUAAUUACUAUACCUUUCUAACUAAAUUUAUUUCUUAAAUAAAUAAAUCAAGGAUGCCAGAAACCUUCUAAUGGGAAAUUCUACUGCAAAUUUUCAGAUUGAGGCCUUUGAGUUCUUUUGAAAUCAAGUGCUUUUAGUCAAAAAAAUAAUAAUAAUAAGAGUUUAUCAAACGAUUGAUGAAUUUAGUAAAUUAAUAAUUUAAAUCAAUCUUUUAGAAAAUAAAACUAAACAAAUUAACAAUUAAUACAAUGAAUAAAUUUGAUAAAAAUAUUAUUCUAAUUAGAAGUUGUUUGGUUCUAUGGAAAAGUAUGGAAUAAAGUUUUUUGGGAAAAAGGUUUUUUAUGGAAAAACCUAUUGUUAAGUUUUUUAUCGGUUUGGUUCUAAGAAAAACAAUUUUUUUUUUUAAAUCCAAAUUUUACAAAAAAACUAGUGUUUCGUUUUUUGAACUUUUUUUUAAGGAAAACAGAAACACUAGUACUUUAUAAAUUUGAAAAAAUUUUUUCAAAAAAGCUAGUUUUUUUUAGAAUCAAACAUGCAAAAAUUAAAAAGGAGUUCUCCAUAAAGAACUCUUUUCUUAAAAAAAAAAAAAAAAAAAAUUCCACACUUUUUGGAGGAAUCAAAUAGCCCUUUAAAUAUGAAAUCUAUUUUAGAAUGGCCAAAUUUUUUUCUAUUUGGUUGGACUAUUAUUUUUCUCUUCCUAUUUGUUUUGAUAAACGUGAUGCUACUACGUGCCUUAAGAGCUAUGCAAUGUUUCGGUUUUUUUUUUUUUUAUUUCAUUUGUUUUCAGCACACGGGGUAUUUGGGGGUUUAGUUUGCAGGAGAAGUAAAAUUUUGUCUAGAUAAGUAAUUUUUGUUCUCAUCGCUUUUAUCUUCUUAUACAUAACUUGUCUAUGAACUAUUUUUCGAAUCGGUUAAUCAACCUUUAAAAUUUUUAUUUUACUGUCAAAUCUUUCAAUUUGUUUAAUUUGAAUCAAUUAAUAAUAUUUGACUUUGAAAUUUACGCCAAUUACUUCACUGAAUUUGUAGUUGCGAAAAUUGUACAAAAUAUACUAUCUAAAUCUGUAAAAAUAAGCAAAAUAGUUAAAUUUUGAAGUCAAAAUAUCGUUGGCUAUCUCAAAUCAAGCAAAUUAAAAAAUUGGGCAGUAAAAUCAAAAUUUAAAAGAUUGCUUAACCGAUUCAAAAUGGCUCAUACUUCAAGUAAUUAAUUUCUGUACAUUUUUAUAUAUAUAUUUUUUUUUAAGGUUAAUUAAUUAAUUAAUUGCACCAUUAAUUCAUCACCAGUUUUCACUUGGUUUUCAAAUUGCAGCAUGCAUAUAUAAGAGUACUGGACGCCGGAGAAGGGGGGAUGGCUAGCCGAGAUCAAGAGCAUCGAAUUUCUAUUCCUGAUCAUAAUAAUGCUGGUGGAUCUGGUGUCAGUGUCGGCCCCGGAUUCAUUAAUGAGGAGGACGUGUGUAGUCUCCCGAUCGAACCGGCCGAUUUGGGUGAGGAGUGGAUUCGAGAGGUGGAGGACAAAAUUGUUUCCGCAUUCGAAGAUUCGACAGUACUGUGGCAUUCGGAUUUCAAGGAUGAAACAGGACCUAAGAUUUGCAUGCUGCCGCUGCGUGACUCUCAGCCAAGGUUGGAGACGAAAGGGGGGCUUUCCCAGCCAAGCGUGGUGACAAUAGGGCCAUUUCAUCGGCAGGAUAGGGUGAGUAUUUCCGACAAAGAAAAAUGGAUGAUUGUGGGCCUCAUGAAUCUUUUGUGUGGUCUCGACUUGGCGAGCUGCCUCGUAAAGAUAAAAAAUCAAGUAGCAAACGCCCGCAACAGCUACUCCAAUUUAGAUGUAUCUGAUCAAAGCUCCGGUUUUAAAGAUGACAAAAGUUUCGCAGAGAUGCUGCUGCUUGAUAGCUACUUCAUCUUGUUUAUGUUGACCAUUAAGUUACGUAAAGGACCGACAGAUUAUACAUUGAUGCCGCCAACACUUAAUAAGUUUACAGAGCCGCCGCUUAAGCUGUUUCAAGACGACCAUUUCAAAUUUCUCGACAUCAUAUUCAACAAAGAUGAUAUCGCACUUGAUCUGCUGAUCCUCGAUAACCAAAUCCCUUUCUUUGUGAUCGAGGAGCUACUUAAGGAGCUCGAGUCGGAGAAGCCUCUCCAUGAGUAUGCCCUCGAGUUCUUCGAGACAAUCCAUCCAAGGUCGGCCCAACAUUGCAAGGACAAGAAUAUUAGUCCUCCCGAAUUCCUACAUCUGCUCGAUCUUUUCCACUGGUCUCGGGUCCCACAGAACAAGUACACCUUGCCUCGACAGCUAGAUUCUAUUGACUGGGUACCCCAUACUCCGAAUGCGAUGGAACUUAGAGAAUCCGCAACAGUGUUUGAAAAGAAGACGUCCGGGAGCUCAUUGGAUAUCACAUUUCAGAGACGUAGGUUUAAAGGCAUUAUUGGGGUGCUCGACAUCCCAGAGUUACACUUCCGCAACUAUAGCAGCCUCAUCUUCUAUAACCUCAUCGCCUUCGAGAUACAAUCUUCAAGCCGGGGUCGCUGCACCAUGGCCUUUUCUGCACUUAUGCGGAACUUGCUGCAAACCGAGGAAGAUGUGAAGCUGCUUCGGCGAAGCGGCAUUUUGGUGAGCUCAUCCAUGACCGCCAGCCAACUCACUGAUCUCUUCGAACGCUUGAGCAGAUUGACUGAAAACCAUCAAAUGCCAAGCGAUCUGUCUGCAAUUUGCGAUCAGGUCCUGUCUUACCACAAUGACAGAGCGUAUCAAUUCUUCCGCUUCAUCAUUCUCUGGUACUUCCCCAACCCACAGGCGACUUUUUUGGUAUUUGUUUCUGGCUUGCUUUUUGUUCCCACCAUCUUGCAAACCAUAUACGCUAUGAUCUACCAUAGUUGAAUGCUCUACAUGUUAUUAUCAUCUUGUAUGAUAGCAAGGAGUCUGUAUUUUACUGAAAUAAAAAACUUGUAUUGUACUACCAAAUGGGUUGUUGUUAAAUUUACUAUGUAACAUCCUCUGUACGUUGCUACCUACUUUGGUGUCCCUGCAUGCUUGUUAUUAAUGCAAUGGCUUUUUAUUUAUACGAAUUUUCUUCACACAAGUGACUAAUUAGAAUGAUAUCUCUGAAGCAUAUAGAGAGUUUAUGAAAGGAUUUAAGUGCUCGUGUCGUGCGCGCAUGUAAACAGUGGAGUGCGCAAAUCUCUUCAAUCUCCUAAGCAAAUGUCUAGAAAAACGAUGGAAUACAUUAGUAGAUAGCAAUCCCAAGUAAAACCCGUUAAGAAUAGUAUUUAAAGCACUUAACAAUCCGAAAUAUAGCCUAUUAGAUAUUGAACUGAUCAACAGAUCAAUGCCCCAAAUUAAAGUUUUAAAUCACCAAAUAAGUAACAAACUCCAACAGUUCUUACUCAACUCCUUGCUUUUGCCAACAAUUUGAUACCUAAACAGGAGUACUCGAAGCGUAUCCUUAAUUAGCAACAUCAAAUAAUUUAUCUUAUAUUUCUUUGAUCUACAAUGAAAACAUCAAAAAUAGCAAUAAUUAGGAUUUGAAGCUACAAAAGUUAUCUUAAAUGCUAAGGCUCUCUCAUAUAUAGCCCAUGAUAUACAAAUUUCUUAUAAGCUGCUCUGAAGCUGGAAAAUCCUUGAUUAGUCAUCACAUACGCAAUUCAACAACAAAAAAACAAUACAAAACAAAACAAAACAAAACAAAACAAAACAAAAAUCCAAAGUAAUCAAUAAAAAGAACAGUUGAUAUAUAGAGACACAGAAAGAGAGAGAAAUCGACAUAUAAAUACUCUUUGAAAAAUCUGAAUUUUUGUGCAUGCCUUUAGAAAGAUCAACUUGUUAGAAAUAAACUUAUAAAAACACUACCUUAUACGAAAAAAAAAAAAAAGUUUUUCAAUAAGAUUGCUUAGCCGAUUCAAAAUGGCUCAUACUUCUUAGCCGAUUCAAAAUGGCUCAUACUUCAAGUAAUUAAUUUCUGUACAUUUUUAUAUAUAUAUUUUUUAAAAGGUUAAUUAAUUGCACCAUUCGUCACCAAUUUUUACUUGGUUUUCAAAUUGCAGCAUGCAUAUAUUAGAAUGGACGCUGGAGAAGGGGGGAUGGCUAGCCCAGAAGAGCAUCGAAUUUCUAUUCCUGAUCAUAAUGCUGGUGGAUCUGGUGUAAGUGUCGGCCCCGGAAUCAUUAAUGAGGAGUACCUGAGUAGUCUUCCUAGCGAUCCACCGAAUGCGGAUGAGUGGUGGAUUAGAGAGAUGGAGUACAGAAUCGAGAGAGGACUCGCCGAUUCGACACUCCGGCCCUCUAAUUUCAAGGAUGAAACAGAAGAUAAGAUUUGCGUGUCGACGCUGCACGAGAGGAUCUCUCAGCGAAGGUCGGAUACAGAAGAGGGGCUCUCUCGGCCAAGCGUGGUGAGGAUAGGGCCAUUUCAUCGGUGGCAUUCUUCGAGUAUUUCCGAGGAUGAAAAAUGGGUGAUUGUUGGCCUCAUGAAUCUUUUGUAUGGUCUCGACUUGAGGAGCUGCCUCGUAAGGAUAAAAAAUCAAGUAGCAAACGCUCGCAGCCGCUACAAUAUAGAUGAACUUCAAAGGUUCCGCUGUAUUAAAGAUCCGAUAAGUCCCUAUGAGAUGAGCGAUGAAAGGUCACGCUUUUACAAUGACAAAAGUUUUGCAGAGAUGCUGCUGCUAGAUAGCUACUUCAUCCUGUUUAUGUUGACCAUUAAGUUACGUGAAGGACCGACAGAUUAUACAUUGAUGCCACCAACACCUAAGUUUACAAAGGAGCCGCUUAAGCUCUUACAAGGCUACCAUUUUACAUUUCUCGACAUCAUAUUCAACAAAGAAGAGAUCGCGCCUGAUCUGCUGAUCGUCGAUAACCAAAUCCCCUUCUUCGUGAUCGUGAUCGAGGAGCUAUUUGAGGAGCUCAAUUUGGAUAAGCCCCUCUAUGAAUACGCACUCGAGUUCUUCGAGAGAAUCCAUCCAAGGCUCGCCCUACGUUCCAUAGACCAGCAUAGUCCUCCCAAAUUCCUACAUCUGCUCCAUCUUUUCCACUGGUCUCGGGUCCCACAGAACAAGUACAUCGAACUAAUUAUUAGUCCGUCGCCUCAACAGCUAGAUGUUUUUGACUGGGUAUCCCAAACUCUGAAUGCGAUGGAACUUAGAGAAUCCGCAACAUUGUUUGAAAAGAAGACGUCCGGCAGCAGCUCGCCAUUGGAUAUCACAUUCCAUAGACGUUGGUUCAACCGCAUUAUUGGGGUGUUCCACAUCCCAGAGUUACACAUCCGCGACUACAGCAGCCUCAUCUUCCAUAACCUCAUCGCCUUCGAGAUGCAGUCUUCAACCCGGGGCCGCUGCACCAUGGCCUUUUCUGCACUUAUGCGGAUCUUGCUGCAAAGCGAGGAAGAUGUGAAGCUGCUUCGGCAAAGACGCAUUCUGGUGAGCUCGUCCAUGACUGACAGACAACUCAUUGAUCUCUUCGCACGCUUGAGCAAAUUGACUGAAAACCAUCAAAUGCCAUACGAUCUGUUUGCAAUUUGCGAUCAGGUCCAGUCUUACCACAAGAACCUAGUGAGUCGAUUAUGCGGUGGCAUCAUUGUCCAGUACUUUUCCAAACCAGUGGUGGCUCUUUCUGUGUUUGUUGCUGCCUUGCUCUUCGUCCCCACUCUUUUGCAGACCAUAUAUGCUAUGAUCUACCAUAGUUGAAUGCUGAUCUACAUGUUAUUAUUAUCUAGUANGAUUUUACAUUAGUUUGGCUGCUACACACACACACACACACACACACACACACACACACACAAAAUGCAUGGAAUCUUACUCUGAUCCUGCACCAACAAAACUGAUGAAGAACACAAACAUACAAUAAGAAAUUAGUCCUUUUUUUUUCAAUAUUCUUGUGAAUAAAAUGAUAGACCAUAUAUCGGAGUCAUAUAUGAGUCCAGUACGAAUAAAAUAGAAGAACAUAAGCAGUAAGAUCGAGUUUAGGCAUCUAUUGCUCCUACAAUGAAAUUGAUAGACUACAAAAUGAGUUGUUGUUUUUUUUUUGCAACUCAUGCACUGAAAAACAAAAAACAGAGAGAAUAAGUAAUUUAGUAGUACGAUUUUAAUCUUGUUUGUGUGCCUGAUAAGGAAAAAAUAGAUUUGAGCGCCAAUAGAGAGUCCUAUUCCUUACAUGUUCCUGCACUACCGAAAUAGAACAUAAGCAGCAAAAACUUCACUCUUGUUUUAUAUUAAUUCUUGAACAAAUUGAGUGAAAUAUAUGUAGGAGUGUUAUAAUGUUACUGUGGUCCUGCACCGAGAAAUUAAAUGAACUUGAAAGCUUUUGUCGCGCGCGUCUCUUAUGUUCUAACUAAUCACUGGACAAUUAGUCAUAUUUUUUUAACUUUUGAAAGCAAUUGAUAUACUAGCAACAUAUGUUAUAUUAUUCAUUACAUUGCUUGUUUUACAAGACCAAUCCGUCCUGUGAGAAUAACAUCAUGUAUUAAUCACAGGGCGCAAUUAAUUAGCGCUAUAUUAAUUCCCUAAUUAUGUGUCCAAACCGUAAAGUAUAAGGGUAAAAAAAUAUAAAAAAUUCCUAAUGGAGGAUGCUAAUUAAAGACGAACCUGACUGCCGCUGUAUUCUUCAGAAAAUCGAAUCCUGAAACAAAUUAGAUAACCUUGUUAAUUAAGAUCGAACGAGAUGUAGCUCAUUAAAAUCGAAAUGAAUUGCGUUAAUCGCAGAGAGUAGCAGGGGCGAGAUGAAGGAUGGUAAAGUAAACAUACAAUUUCGUCAUCGUCACUCCGCAACUGCCUGGUAAAUCCACACGUCAGGGACUAUGUUGCACAGAUACGGAUACGGGGAUACGGAUACGACACGAUACGGAUACGGUGAUACGGCAAUUUCUAAAACUUCUAGGAUACGAUACGCGGGAUAUACUUAAAUAAAAUAUUAUUUUAAAUAUAUUUAAAUGUAUGUUGAUUAUAUGUAAUGAUAUAUUGAGAACAAUUAGAAUAUCUAGACUAUAUUAAGGAAUAUAUUCUAAUAUGCAUUAACUUGUAUAAUUAUUUUACAUAUGUUCAAAAAAAAGACAAUCAAUCAUAUAAAAUAAUAAUUCAAAAAGUAUCAAACCAACUAUCAUUCAACUUGAUCAAAUGAUAACAAUAAAUAUAUAGUCGCACAAACUAGAUAAUUAGCCAUUCAAUAUAUAUGUCUGAUUUGUUAGUUCUAUUAUUAAAAUAGUAAUAAAAAAAUAUGCUAACAAUUUAAUAGAGAAGGGAAAAAAAAAUCAUAUUUUCUAUAGCCUUUGUUGCUUAAUACUAGGUUGACAAAUUAGAUGGAAGAGAGUAAAUACUGUGUGAAGAUAGAACAAGAGGGAGCGCCUUCUACCAUUCAAGAACAAAAAAAUAGAUGAAAUGACAAAUUGAACAGAUAUUGGUGUUUUUCUCACUCUUUUCCUUCUUUCCAAUAGGUUUGGACGUGAGCUUUUAAAAAAUUUUAAGUUUCAAUCAUUUUAGACCAAAAAAGAACCGGGCCGUGUCCCCCCCGUAUCCCCCCGUAUCCCUCACGUAUCCGAGCCGUAUCCGAUAUUUUUUUAUUUUUUAAAAAUGCCAGAUACUUCAUUCCCGUAUCGGACACGUAUCGGGCGCGUAUCGGGCGCGUAUCGGUAUCCGACCCGUAUCCGAUACAGAUACGGCAUGAAAUUUGAAGUAUCCGUGCUUCAUAGAACGAGAGGGAGCGCCUUCUACCAUUCAAGAACAAAAAAAUAGGUGAAAUGACAAAUUGAACAGAUAUUGGUGUUUUUCUCACUCUUUUCCUUCUUUCCAAUAGGUUUGGACGUGAGCUUUUAAAAAAAUUUUAAGUUUCAAUCAUUUUAGACCAAAAAAGAACCGGGCCGUGUCCCCCCCGUAUCCCCCCGUAUCCCUCACGUAUCCGAUAUUUUUUUAUUUUUUAAAAAUGCCAGAUACUUCAUUCCCGUAUCGGACACGUAUCGGGCGCGUAUCGGGCGCGUAUCGGUAUCCGAUACGUAUCCGAUACGGAUACGGCAUGAAAUUUGAAGUAUCCGUGCAUCAUAGCUGCCCCCUCUGGAAAAAUUUACAUAGACUCAACGCCCCGUUCCUCACCUCGGUCGACUUUAUCCUGGGCGAUGGCAAAGACACACGUUUUUGGAGUGUGCGAUGGGGCGGGGAUGUUGCACUUCGAAACCGCUUCCCUACCUUAUAUGCGGCCUCUACAAAUAAUAAAUUCUGUGUCUUUACCUGGACUCGCCGCUUCGCUUCAAAGAUCAACCUAGGAUUCAAUUGUCCCACAUGUCAUGAAGAACAAUCAGAACUCCACCAGCUACGUGUGCUGUCCAGCAGCAUUGUCCUCUCAGCUGGCACUCAAGAUGUACCUACUCGGAGAUGGAAUAGCUCUGGUAAGUUUUCGGUGCGAAGUGCCGCGGACUUUCUUUCGUACGAUGGUAUCAACAACACCGCCCUCUACUUCCUGUGGAAGCUCAAGGUACCUCUCAAAGUAAAACUAUUCUUUUGGCUCGCCUUGCGCAAUAAGAUUUUGACGGGUGAUAAUUUAGCGAAACGCGGCUGGCAUGGACCGACUAUUUGUGUACUCUGUUUUGAAGAUGCUGAGCCACUACAACACAUUCUAUUGCAUUGUUUAUACGCAAGAUCUGUUUGGAACUGGUUGAAUUUCAGAACCUCAUCUACUCAUGUUUCGAACUCCACUCCACCCGAUGGAAUUGCAACACGUUGGUGUCGCCUGAGGACGAACGAGGCUGGAGAAAUUAAGCAUUACCAACUUUGAUCUGACUUUUGCAGCAACAUGCUGGGAGCUAUGGAAGGAGAGAAACAGGCGUAUUUUCGACAAUCAGCUAGUUCGAAGCGACGCCUUGGGAAGAUGUAUUAUAGAAACUGUUCAUUUCUAGAGUUGUGUUUUAGGUAGUUCAGCUACUUAGAUGUUCUGUGUUCUUUUCCUUCUGCUUUUGUCAGUUUCUUUGGUGUUUUGUGCUCUCUUUCUUUUGCUUUUGUGAGCCUCCACGAUUGUGGUUUUGUUUUCCUCCCACUGAUCUCUCAAUCAGACCCAGUUGUUUCCAAAUAGGGUUCAUCCCUGUUUAAUCAAAAAAAAGAAUAGUAUUUCGAUCACUUAUUAACAAUCCCAAAUAUAACCGAUCGUUCCUAGCGCAAGUGGCAAAAGACUUGAUGGUUGGUAUCCAAGGUUCCAAGUUCGAAUUCUAGUUGAUUUACAUGUAUACAUAAAUUUAUCUCUAAAUAAAAUAAAUAAAGUGGGUAGCAUACUAUCUAUCUCCUAAAAAAAAAUCAAAAACAAAAAACAAUUCCAAAUAUAGCUUAUUAGAUAUUGAGCUGAUCAAGAGGUCAAUGCCCCAAAUUAAAAUUUUAAAUCGCCAAAUAAGUAACAAACUCCAACAGUUCUUACUCGAACACUCCUUGCUUUUGCUAAUAAUUUGACUUCUAAACAAGAGUACUCGAAGAGUAUGUUUAAUCAACACCAUCAUAUAAUAUAUCUCAAAUUUCUUUAAUCUACAAUUAAUGAAAACAUCAAAACUAGAAAUAAUUUAAUUUUGAAGCUACAAAAGUUAUCUUUAAUGCUAAGGCUCUCUCUUAGCCCGCAGAUUAGCCUACUUGCAAUUAUAUUUUACUAUUUUGUAAUUUUAUUUUUGUAAAUAGCAAAGUGCUAAAUUUUAUAUUACAUGUCAUAAAACAAUAAACAUGUGAUACUAUUAACUAUAGGAAAAACUUCAAAAACCCCCUUGUGGUUUCGUAGUUUUUCACUUUGGUCCCUGUGGUUUAAAAUGUAUCAAUUUGCCGCCCUGUGGUUUUAUUUUUUUCUUUUUCUUAUCAAUUUCAUUAUUUUUUUUUCUUAAAUCAGUAAUAAAGUUAAAAUUAAAGGGUACUAAAGUGAAUAUUUGAUAAAUCUAGAUGGGUAUCUGAAGUUUUUUAUAUAUAAUUUAACGAAAUAUUAACGAAAAAGCUACCGAAAAGAUAAAAACGAAACCACAUGGGGGCAAAUUGAUACACUUUAAACCACAGGGGGGCAAAGUGAGAAACUACGAAACCACAGGGGGGUUUUUUGAAGUUUUUCCUANGGUUUGAAGUUUUCCCUUAACUAUAUAAUUCACGGUAUGAUACACUACCAAUUUAAAAUUUUCUAAAACGUUGAAGAUGACACCAAAAUAAAGAAUAAUUAAUUUUUUGAAGGAAAGCAUGACGGAAAAAAAUAAAAAAAGAAACAAAAAAAACUAAAUAUGGAGUUAGUUAAUUAAUAAUAAAACUUUUCCUAUAUUCAUCAAGUAAUACUCGCCUAAAAUUGCGACUUAGUCCCUACAGCAACAACAUAUUGCAAUUCGCUCCACACGACGAUUCUAAUCCGAGUCUAAUUCCUCUUCACUCUUUCCUCUAUAUAUACUCUUUAUUAUUACCUCCUCUCUUCGUCCUCGCGAGCGCGAUCAUCUCCAACGCUCUCUCUCCUCUAGGGUUUCGAUCCUCUCUCUUCGUCCUCGCGAGCGCGAUCAUCUCCAUCUCUCUCCUUCGUUUCCAUGGCCGAAGCUCCCAUGGUAGCCGAAGCGAAGAAGGCCGAAGCAGAAGCUCCCAUGGUGGCCGAAGCGAAGAAGGUGGAGGAGGUGGAGGCGGGGGAGGACAAGGGCCCUGGCCAUUACCAGAUCGAGCACCCCUACGUGUGCAUCGGCAAGCCUAGGGUUGAGUACGUCCCCACUCCCACACCCUCCUCCUCUUCCACCGUCGUCGUCAUCGAGAUAACAUGGAAGAGGGUGCUCCAAUACGUCACGACGAUUAACGGCACCUCCACCCUCGACCGCCGCGGCCCCGUCGAAACCCUAGGCUCCUCCUCCUCCUCCUUCGACGUCCCCGCGCUCCUCGCGGCCUCGCCCGCCACCUACAAGACGGCGAACUCCGCCGGGGACGCGUGGUUCGACGUCGUCGCCUCCUUCCCCGCCGCCGCCCACCUCGCACCCUUCCUCCCCGGCUCCCUCCUCGACGCCCUCUCCUUCGACCUCGACAAGGCCAUCGCCGAGCGACCGCCCCCGCACCCGCACCUCUCCGUCUCCGCCACCGUCCUCUACAAGCAGGAGCUCACCAUCCUCGACACGCGCAUCCACGACGACCGGCUCGUCGCCGUCCGCGAUCUCCUCGGCGAGAUCGGCGCGGCGACGCGGCUCGCCGGCGCCAGGUGCGGCGCGUGCCACAUGCUGCACCGCAGGGAGUUGGAUUUCCUGAGGUUGCCCUGCUCCCACGCCUUCCACCGCAACUGCAUCUCCAAUGCGUUCCGGAGCGACACCCGAUGCCCCACCUGUCGCCGGAGAUUUCGCCGGAACGAUGCUUGAAUUUCUCUUCUUAUUAGAAUAAGAAAGCAAGCAUAAGUCUCCCCCACCCUGGUCCUUCUUUUUAAAUUAGGGUUUUAAUUGGAGAUAGGCUCAAGUUUUCUCGAAUUCUGUAAUCAAAGUUUAAGUUUAGAUUAUACAUAAUCUUAUUAAGAUUAUUUCUAACUUUAUUAACAUUGCAUUCCUACUUGUAUUAGCAUUUAGUGAUUAUCAUCAUAAAUAUUAUAUGUUUUAUUUCAUUAAUUUGGUGCGGCAGAGAAAUAUAUUUUGUAGAGCACUUUUAUUGUAUUAGAAAUCUUUGCUGUGG